UACGAAGGGUGCAAGCGUUACUCGGAAUUACUGGGCGUAAUGCGUGCGUAGGUGGUUUGUUAAGUCUGAUGUGAAAGCCCUGGGCUCAACCUGGGAACGGCAUUGGAAACUGGCUUACUAGAGUGCGGUAGAGGGGUGUGGAAUUCCCGGUGUAGCAGUGAAAUGCGUAGAUAUCGGGAGGAACAUCUGUGGCGAAGGCGACACCCUGGACCAGCACUGACACUGAGGCACGAAAGCGUGGGGAGCAAACAGG
rnacentral:rRNA from 1 species